AUACUUACCUGGCAGGGGGGGCACCUUGAUCAUGAAUGAGGUUCACCCAGACUGAAGUUCGGCCAUUGCACCCCGGCUGCACUGACCUUUGCGUAUUUCCCGAAUGUGAGACUCUCGACUGCAUAAUUUGUGGUAGUGCAUAGUGUGGGACUGCA
rnacentral:snRNA from 1 species